CACAGGACAAAGAAAACCAAACAGUUCAGUUUAUUUUAGUGAAUCGGUUUGUCUGAACAUUUCAUGUUCAAAAGAAAAAAUGAUUCAGUGCAGCAAAAUAAUGAUUUAACUGCUGGAGAAAUGAAGUCAAACAGGUGUGGAGUGACACGAGUCAGACACUUUUGUUCAAAGUGACCUACAAAUGAAGAAUACGAUGAAGUGACUCAUCCUAAGACACCCCGACCAGCCCGACACAGCAACAUCAGAU